UACGUAGGGCGCAAGCGUUGUCCGGAAUCAUUGGGCGUAAAGAGCUCGUAGGCGGCCUGUUGCGUCCGCUGUGAAAUCCCGGGGCUUAACCCCGGGCGUGCAGUGGAUACGGGCUGGCUGGAGGCAGGCAGGGGAGAACGGAAUUCCCGGUGUAGCGGUGAAAUGCGCAGAUAUCGGGAAGAACACCAGUGGCGAAGGCGGCUCACUGGCUGAACACUGACGCUAAAGCGCGAAAGCGUGGGGAGCAAACAGG
rnacentral:rRNA from 1 species